rnacentral:rRNA from 1 species
CUACGGGCUGCUCCAGUGGGGAAUAUUGCACAAUGGAGGAAACUCUGAUGCAGCAACGCCGCGUGGAGGAUGACACUUUUCGGAGCGUAAACUCCUUUUAUAUAGGAAGAAGAUGACGGUACUAUAUGAAUAAGCGCCGGCUAACUCCGUGCCAGCAGCCGCGGUAAUACGGAGGGCGCAAGCGUUACUCGGAAUCACUGGGCGUAAAGAGCGUGUAGGCGGAUUAAAAAGUCAGAAGUGAAAUCCUAUAGCUUAGCUAUAGAACUGCUUCUGAAACUCUUAAUCUAGAAUAUGGGAGAGGUAGAUGGAAUUUCUGGUGUAGGGGCAAAAUCCGUAGAGAUCAGAAGGAAUACCGAUUGCGAAGGCGAUCUACUAGAACAUUAUUGACGCUGAGACGCGAAAGCGUGGGGAGCAAACAGGAUUAGAUACCCCUGUAGUC